rnacentral:ncRNA from 1 species
AUGCAGAGAUAAAAACACAGCUCCGGUUGGUAGUCCGGACGCACCUUACGGUGUCAGUAACCUGCCUCCUUGGUUGUCCGUUCUCUGUAAU